rnacentral:rRNA from 1 species
GAUGAACGCUGGCGGCGUGCCUAAUACAUGCAAGUCGAGCGAACGGACGAGAAGCUUGCUUCUCUGAUGUUAGCGGCGGACGGGUGAGUAACACGUGGAUAACCUACCUAUAAGACUGGGAUAACUUCGGGAAACCGGAGCUAAUACCGGAUAAUAUUUUGAACCGCAUGGUUCAAAAGUGAAAGACGGUCUUGCUGUCACUUAUAGAUGGAUCCGCGCUGCAUUAGCUAGUUGGUAAGGUAACGGCUUACCAAGGCAACGAUGCAUAGCCGGCCUGAGAGGGUGAUCGGCCACACUGGAACUGAGACACGGUCCAGACUCCUACGGGAGGCAGCAGUAGGGAAUCUUCCGCAAUGGGCGAAAGCCUGACGGAGCAACGCCGCGUGAGUGAUGAAGGUCUUCGGAUCGUAAAACUCUGUUAUUAGGGAAGAACAUAUGUGUAAGUAACUGUGCACAUCUUGACGGUACCUAAUCAGAAAGCCACGGCUAACUACGUGCCAGCAGCCGCGGGUAUACGUAGGUGGCAAGCGUUAUCCGGAAUUAUUGGGCGUAAAGCGCGCGUAGGCGGUUUUUUAGUCUGAUGUGAAAGCCCACGGCUCAACCGUGGAGGGUCAUUGGAAACUGGAAAACUUGAGUGCAGAAGAGGAAAGUGGAAUUCCAUGUGUAGCGGUGAAAUGCGCAGAGAUAUGGAGGAACACCAGUGGCGAAGGCGACUUUCUGGUCUGUAACUGACGCUGAUGUGCGAAAGCGUGGGGAUCAAACAGGAUUAGAUACCCUGGUAGUCCACGCCGUAAACGAUGAGUGCUAAGUGUUAGGGGGUUUCCGCCCCUUAGUGCUGCAGCUAACGCAUUAAGCACUCCGCCUGGGGAGUACGACCGCAAGGUUGAAACUCAAAGGAAUUGACGGGGACCCGCACAAGCGGUGGAGCAUGUGGUUUAAUUCGAAGCAACGCGAAGAACCUUACCAAAUCUUGACAUCCUUUGACAACUCUAGAGAUAGAGCUUUCCCCUUCGGGGGACAAAGUGACAGGUGGUGCAUGGUUGUCGUCAGCUCGUGUCGUGAGAUGUUGGGUUAAGUCCCGCAACGAGCGCAACCCUUAAGCUUAGUUGCCAUCAUUAAGUUGGGCACUCUAAGUUGACUGCCGGUGACAAACCGGAGGAAGGUGGGGAUGACGUCAAAUCAUCAUGCCCCUUAUGAUUUGGGCUACACACGUGCUACAAUGGACAAUACAAAGGGCAGCGAAACCGUGAGGUCAAGCAAAUCCCAUAAAGUUGUUCUCAGUUCGGACUGUAGUCUGCAACUCGACUACAUGAAGCUGGAAUCGCUAGUAAUCGUAGAUCAGCAUGCUACGGUGAAUACGUUCCCGGGUCU